GAUGAACGCUGGCGGCGUGCUUAACACAUGCAAGUCGAACGGGAAUUAUUUUAUUGAAACUUCGGUCGAUUUAAUUUAAUUCUAGUGGCGGACGGGUGAGUAACGCUUGGGUAACCUGCCUUAUACAGGGGGAUAACAGUCAGAAAUGGCUGCUAAUACCGCAUAAGCGCACAGAGCUGCAUGGCUCAGUGUGAAAAACUCCGGUGGUAUAAGAUGGACCCGCGUUGGAUUAGCUGGUUGGUGGGGUAACGGCCCACCAAGGCGACGAUCCAUAGCCGGCCUGAGAGGGUGAACGGCCACAUUGGGACUGAGACACGGCCCAGACUCCUACGGGAGGCAGCAGUGGGGAAUAUUGCACAAUGGGGGAAACCCUGAUGCAGCGACGCCGCGUGAAGGAAGAAGUAUCUCGGUAUGUAAACUUCUAUCAGCAGGGAAGAUAGUGACGGUACCUGACUAAGAAGCCCCGGCUAACUACGUG
rnacentral:rRNA from 1 species